rnacentral:rRNA from 1 species
CUACGGGGUGCUCCAGUGGGGAAUAUUGCACAAUGGAGGAAACUCUGAUGCAGCAACGCCGCGUGGAGGAUGACACUUUUCGGAGCGUAAACUCCUUUUAUAUAGGAAGAAGAUGACGGUACUAUAUGAAUAAGCGCCGGCUAACUCCGUGCCAGCAGCCGCGGUAAUACGGAGGGCGCAAGCGUUACUCGGAAUCACUGGGCGUAAAGAGCGUGUAGGCGGAUUAAAAAGUCAGAAGUGAAAUCCUAUAGCUUAAUUAUAGGACUGCUUCUGAAACUCUUAAUCUAGAAUAUGGGAGAGGUAGAUGGAAUUUCUGGUGUAGGGGUAAAAUCCGUAGAGAUCAGAAGGAAUACCGAUUGCGAAGGCGAUCUACUAGAACAUUAUUGACGCUGAGACGCGAAAGCGUGGGGAGCAAACAGGGUUAGAUACCCCGGUAGUC